rnacentral:rRNA from 1 species
CGGGUGAGUAACGCGUGAGGAACCUGCCUCAAAGAGGGGGACAACAGUUGGAAACGACUGCUAAUACCGCAUAAGCCCACGGCUCGGCAUCAGCAGAGGGAAAAGGAGCAAUCCGCUUUGAGAUGGCCUCGCGUCCGAUUAGCUAGUUGGUGAGGUAAUGGCCCACCAAGGCAACGAUCGGUAGCCGGACUGAGAGGUUGAACGGCCACAUUGGGACUGAGACACGGCCCAG